UUAAUGAUGAAAUUAAUUGGUCCGUGUUUAUGAAUUUAUGUUGAUUAUAUAAUCCAAUUACCGAACUGA